GACGAACGCUGGCGGCGUGCUUAACACAUGCAAGUCGAGCGGUAAGGCCCUUUCGGGGGUACACGAGCGGCGAACGGGUGAGUAACACGUGGGUGACCUGCCCUCAGCUCUGGGAUAAGCCUGGGAAACCGGGUCUAAUACUGGAUAUGACUCCAUGACGCAUGUUGUGGGGUGGAAAGCCUUGUGCGGCUGAGGAUGGGCCCGCGGCCUAUCAGCUUGUUGGCGGGGUGANGGCCUACCAAGGCGACGACGGGUAGCCGGCCUGAGAGGGCGACCGGCCACACUGGGACUGAGACACGGCCCAGACUCCUACGGGAGGCAGCAGUGGGGAAUCUUGCGCAAUGGGCGAAAGCCUGACGCAGCGACGCCGCGUGAGGGAUGACGGCCUGG
rnacentral:rRNA from 1 species